rnacentral:rRNA from 1 species
ACCUCGGAUCANGUAGGGAUACCCGCUGAACUUAAGCAUAUCAAUAAGCGGAGGAA